UACGAAGGGGGCUAGCGUUGUUCGGCUUUACUGGGCGUAAAGCGCACGUAGGCGGGUCGUUAAGUCAGGGGUGAAAUCCCGGAGCUCAACUCCGGAACUGCCUUUGAUACUGGCGACCUUGAGGCUGGAAGAGGUUAGUGGAAUUCCCAGUGUAGAGGUGAAAUUCGUAGAUAUCGGGAGGAACACCAGUGGCGAAGGCGGCUUCCUGGACCAGUACUGACGCUGAGGCGCGAAAGCUAGGGGAGCAAACAGG
rnacentral:rRNA from 1 species